CUCCAGUUAGCUUGCAGGUGGCUAUGUACUCAUUAGCGUCAAUGGCACUUUCUAUAAGACCGGCACCGGAGGUGGGCUAGUAAGUGAUCCCUAGGCUCCGUACGUCCUCCCUACACUGUGUUCGCUGUGCUGUCACCUAUGAAAGGUAUUUGGCUGUGUACCAGACGCUUCCGGUUAGUGUUUUGUUGAUCUACCGAAGGUCUUGACUGAAAAGACGCCGUGUACGCGCAGGUUGCACUGUCUAUUGGGAGAUGCGUUAAGGUAACAUUGGCUGUAUAGCUUAGUAAGGUUUGCCAUGUAAUGUGUGUGUGUGUGUGUACAUAUGUAUGUUUAUAUGCAUGUUUACAGUAACUGGAUCUACUAUAAGGUGUCAUGUUUCGCUGUAAGUCCUUGUGAUUUAACUAGCCAAUAACCUUUUAUUAUGUGUUGUAUGUGAGCUAUGCUUGUGUGUGAUUUUAUGUAGGUUUGCGUACUGGAGAGCUACCAGGGAGUCCCAUUUCCAUUCAUGUUGAGUGGUGUAUUCCUAGAGGUAAAAGGAAACCUUGUUGUAUUGUAUCUGUAUUGGUUUAGGCUGUAUUUACCAUAAACAAUGGAUUUUAACUGUUUGUUUACUCCUUUAGAAAGAUUGCCACUGCUGCUUUGCCUCCUGUAGAUUUAAGUAAUUGUAGCUCUUGCCUCAUUUUGUUUUCUUUAUUUUGUUUUGUUUGUCCGAUUGAUUUGGCCUAAACAUAGGCGUGGCUGGUUUCAUUUAUCUGCCCUCCGUCGUGGUGUGUCGGCAACAGGUGUGGUAUUGGCUGCCCCAGUAUUUUGCUGUGGUAAAGUGUGAUGGUAAUAAUGCUAACAUCUAGCUUUCUUGACCCAGCCAGUUAUUGCCAAUAGCAACCAUAUCUUCCCUUCUCCCCUCCAGAGAAACAGUGUUGCAGCUGUUCCGCGGGGCAG